rnacentral:rRNA from 1 species
UACGUAGGGUGCAAGCGUUGUCCGGAAUUAUUGGGCGUAAAGAGCUCGUAGGCGGUUCGUCGCGUCGGCUGUGAAAACCCGGAGCUCAACUCCGGGCCUGCAGUCGAUACGGGCGGACUUGAGUGUUGCAGGGGAGACUGGGAUUCCUGGUGUAGCGGUGAAAUGCGCAGAUAUCAGGAGGAACACCGGUGGCGAAGGCGGGUCUCUGGGCAACUACUGACGCUGAGGAGCGAAAGCGUGGGGAGCGAACAGG